ACUUGCAAUAAAAAUAAAAGAUAAAAAUUUAAAAAUAUAAUAAAAUAAAUUUUAUAUUAAUUAAAAUUAAAAUUUAAGUAUAAAAAUUAAAAAAAUAAUAAAAUAAAAUAAAAUUAUAAUAAAGAUCUGAAGUUGAUCGAUGCAGCCUCGUCAGAAAGAUGGUUGACGACCUCUCUUUCUUCUUUUAUACUCCGUGGAGCAAACUAGCUUCUUUUCUUCUUCCCCUU
rnacentral:lncRNA from 1 species